AGGACUCGCCAAACCCCUUCUCAAAAUUUUCCUCCACUUGAGGGGGAAAAAAAGUCUCCUCCGAUUCCAUUCGAAAUUAAGGAGGGAAAAAAGGAGCGGCAGCGCAGGCGGCCGAACCCUUCCGCCCCGCCCCCCGGCCAUGGCCACCCGCUUCACCCUCAUCAACGAGCUCCGCGAGCUCAUCGCCGCCUCCUCCUCCACCGCCUCCGCCUCCGCCUCCGCGCCCGCCUCCGCGCACCUCGAGGUCAAGCUCCGCGAGGUCCUCCCCAAUCUCCUCCGCGACUACGUCGUCCCCUCCGCCACCGCCACCGAGAGGGAACUCAGGGAAGUCACCGCGGUGCUGAGGCUGGUCGCCUACACGGCGCUCAAGUUCCCGGGGGUCUUCUACCAGGGUCGCGCCGCUGACGUCAUCAGCGUCAUUGGCCGCAUCCUCCCCUUCCUCGCUGACCCCAAUUUCAGGUCGAGGCAUGAGCUUAUAUUCAAUGCACUUUGGAAUCUUCUCUCGGUUCUCCGCACAGGUGACCGAGAGGCCUACAGACAGUUUUUCCUGGAUGCCAUGGUUGCAGUAGAAGAUGUACUGUAUGUGGCAUCAAUGCAUGAUGAGAGUCCUAGUGGUGUGCCUCCUGGAAGAUUUUUAGUUAAAUGCCUAUGCGGAUCCUUCUCAGAUAUAUUGAACUCACCUGGGAUUUUUAGCGAGCUCCCAGUCAGUUGUCAGCCUAUGAAUGGACCUGGCGUGCUGGUUGAUCUGACAGGUGAUGCAAGAUGGCGUCCAUUUGCCACUUCGCUGAUUAAACUAGUUAACAAGUGCCUUACAGAUGGAACCUUGUAUGUUGAUGGGCUUGUUAACAUGUCAUUUGUUUCCGCUGCUUGUUCUAUUCUCUGCUAUUGGGAUGGAUCUCUGCACAAGGUUUGCUUUGAUUUUGCACGUAUUGUUGCCACAGUGAUGACUGUUGAGAUUCUUCCUAUGGAAAACAUUAUUCGUUCAAUUACAUGCAUCUUGAGCCAGGACGUUACCGAACUUUCUGAUAUCAGAGAUGCAGAUUAUGACUUUUCAAUGGGAGCAUGUCUUCGUGCACUGCAUUCUUCAUGUCCUGGUUAUAUUGUUGAAUCUACAGCUGCUGAUAUUGUAAAUGUUUUUCCAAGAGUGGUACAGACCAGCAAGAGUGCAGAGCUUCAGGUUGCAAUGUACACUGCAUACAAGAGGAUAAUUGAACUCUGCUCCCCACAAGUAUGUAAACCAGAAAUCCUUCUGAAGCUGCUUUACUUGCCGAAACCUUGCAGCAAAUUGAUCGAAUGCAUUCGAGUGGUUGUUGACAAAUUUGGUCAGAAUUUUUUUACUCUGGAUGAUGGUGAUGGUCGAAGCAGCCCUAAGGCAAAUUUUGAAGAUUUUGACUUACUAAAAGUUGGCCAGAAAAGAAUAGCACAGAAUGAUGAAAACAUUCUUGCCAAACGUCAGAAGAUCAAUGAAUCAAGAUUUUCUGCUGGCAUUGGAUGGGAACUAGAAAAGGAUUAUGGUUACGCCCUUCAACUGUCUUUAAAUUCACUUAUUAAGUGCCUAUCACCUGAUAAUCAUGAGGCUUAUCCAUUGGACCCUGAAACUGCUAUAGAGGUGCUUAGUCUGCUGUGUAUUUCGUUAUGUGUUUAUCCGAAGACAAGUCUAUUUACUAGAAUUUCUAAGCAAGUUCUUUCCUGGAUUUCUUGGAUUCACACACAGGCAACCAAAAGAAAUAUGUUUUCCUUUGACAUAUCACUAUAUUUUGAAGCUCUUCAUACUGUGAUGCUUCUCCAAUUCUACCUUCCUGGACACACAUUGAUUGAUGAUAGUACUCCAAUAUAUGCUGAUCUCAUCAGCUUGCUGAAACUGAUUUGGGAUGAUGGUCAUUUUGUCACUCAAACUUGUUCAGACAACAAGAUAAAAUGCCUUUUGAUGCAAGUCAUUGCUAAGAUUGGCAAUAAACAGAAUUCUGGAUGUGAUCUUGAAGCCCUUGAUUUGGCCAUCCAUAAUGGAACUGCCGAGAUUCAAAACGAGGCUAUUAUGUCAUUACCCAUCAUUGUGUUGUACUCUGGUCCAAUGAUGAUUGGAGCAAUGUUUAAGAAACUUGAGUCAGUGGGUGCUUUAGGACUCGAGAAAGUGGGGAAAAGCAUUGCUUUUUCACUUGGUUUUCUAUCUUGUUUAAAUGGAACCACUGAUUACACUGACAAUGUGGGGAACCAUUGCAAGCUGUUCUUGGACAAGAACUCUGAACAACCAGUCUCAACAUUAGAUCUUCUCUUGGGAGGUUUCUGGUGUCCUCGAUGUGAUGUCAGGAGAACUGUGCACAAUGAGGAGCAAAUUUCUAUCAUGGACAUUGCGUUGUUACAAGUUGAGAAUAUUGACUUCAAAAUUAACACCUCCAAGGCCCACUGUCUUUUCUUCAAGUUUCUCUAUGCAGAGACUUCCGAAGAAUCUAUAGUUUCCGUGGUUGAAGUUCUGCCACGAAUAUUGAGGCAUUCUAACAAACAGGUUUUGCUUGAGACGAGAAUGCAAUGGGUUCAAUGUGUUGAUUUUCUACUACUUCAUGAAAUGAAAGCUGUCAGGGAAGCAUUUUCUGGUGUAGUUUGCUGCUUCUUGGAAAAGAAUGUUUCGGAUAUUUUGUUCUCUGAUGGACCAGGAAUGAAUGGAGGGACUAAAGAACUUAAAUUCAUGGACAAAAUAAAGUUUGCUUUAACUGAAGCUGAAGACUCUCAGAUUCUUCUGACGCUUCUGGAAUCAAUUGGUACAAUUACGAAAGCUAGUGAUAUUCAUGGAGAAGUUUUCUUCUGCUCAUUUGUAUUACUUAUUGGUCAACUUGACAACCACAAUUCCAUCAUAAGGAUGGCCACAUUAAGAUUAAUUCUCAGAUGCUGCACUUACUGUUUCAAAGGAGGACUGGAUCUCUUCCUCUCGAAAUACUUGCAUGUUAGAGAUAAUUUAUAUAACUAUCUGUCAUCUAUACUUGUGACUCGUCCCAUAGUGAUUAAAAAUUUCGCUGAGGAUGUUUUAGGGAUUAAGACUGAAGAGCUGAUUAAGAGAAUGGUUCCAUCAGUUAUACCAAGGCUUAUCGUGUCGCGCCCAAACAAUGACCAAGCUGUUAUUACUCUGCGUGAACUGGCAUGCCAUCUAAACACUGAACUAGUACCACUGAUCGUAAAUCUGUUGCCUAAAGUUCUCUGCUUUGCUCUUUUUUACGAAAAUGGGCAGCAUUUACAAUCUGUUCUACAAUUUUAUAAGACUGAGACAGGAACUGAUAGCAAGGAGAUAUUUGCAGCUGCUUUGCCAACACUGCUUGACGAAAUUGUAUGUUUUCCUGGGGAAUCUGAUCAGAUUGAGACGGAUAUAAGGACAGCAAGAAUUUCGCCAACAAUUCAAAAUAUUGCUAGAAUUUUGACAGGCAAUGACACUCUUCCUGAGUUUUUGAGGAAUGAUUUUGUCCGCCUCCUCAAUAGCAUUGACAAGAAGAUGCUUCAUUCUGAUGUCAUGAAGCUUCAAAAACAAGCUCUCCAGCGAAUAAAGAAAUUAGUUGAGAUGAUGGGCCCUUAUUUGGGUACACAUGCACCAAAGAUUAUGGUUCUGUUGAUUUUUGCCAUUGAUAAGGAAGCUCUUCAGAUUGAUGGUCUUGAUGUAUUACAUUUUUUCAUAAAGCAAUUGGCUGAAGUAUCGCCUAAUAGUAUCAAGUAUGUUAUGUCCCAAGUUGUAGCUGCUUUCAUUCCAUCUUUGGAAAAGUUCAGAGGAUGCCCUUCUGUGCACUUGAACAAAAUUGUUGAAAUCCUAGAAGAACUUGUUGUGAAAAACAAGAUCUUGCUAAAGCAACAUAUACGUGAAUUACCACUGUUGCCUAGCUUACCAUCUUUAUCAGAAGUAAAUAAAGUAAUACAGGAAGCUAGAGGGCUAAUGACGUUGCAAGAUCAUCUGAAGGAUGCUGUUGAUGGUCUUAACCAUGAGAGCUUAAAUGUAAGGUACAUGGUAGCUUGUGAGUUGAGUAAGUUAUUCAAUGCUAGAAGGGAGGAUAUUACUGCUCUCAUCAUUGGUGAAGAUGUUGCUGAUUUGGAUGUAAUAAGCUCUUUAAUUAUGGCUUUACUUAAAGGGUGUGCAGAGCAAUCAAGGACUGUUGUUGGCCAGAGACUAAAACUAGUUUGUGCAGAUUGUCUUGGUGCACUGGGUGCAGUUGAUCCUGCUAAGUUUAAGGUAAUUUCUUGUGAGCGCUUUAAGAUAGAAUGUUCAGAUGAUGAUCUUAUAUUUGAGUUGAUCCACAAGCAUCUUGCAAGGGCAUUCAGAGCUGCUGCUGACACUACAGUGCAAGAUUCUGCUGCCUUGGCUAUUCAAGAGCUACUAAAAUUGGCAGGUUGCCAAUCGUCACCUAAUGAAGACGAUACGAAGGAAUCAAGUUAUUGUGAGAUGAGCUACAGGGGCCAGAAGUUGUGGGGCCGUUUUUCAAACUAUGUCAAGGAAAUAAUUGCCCCGUGCUUAACGUCAAGAUUUCAUCUUCCUAACAUGACUGAUUCUGCUUUAGUCGGCCCAAUAUACCGCCCAACAAUGUCUUUUCGGAGGUGGAUAUAUAAUUGGAUUAGAAAGUUGACAUCACAUGCAACUGGAUCCCGUUCUGAUAUUUUUAGUGCAUGCCGUGGAAUUGUUCGGCAUGACAUGCCAACUGCGAUCUAUCUCCUACCUUACAUGGUCUUAAAUGUUGUUUGCUAUGGUACCCCAGAGGCUCGUCAAAGCAUUACGGAGGAAAUCAUGUGUGCGCUCAAUGCAGCUGCUUCUGAAAGUAGUGGAGCUGCCGUUCAUGGAAUUACAUGGGGACAGAGUGAGGUCUGUAUUCAAGCCAUCUUCACUCUACUUGAUAAUCUUGGGCAAUGGGUUGAUGACCUCAAACAACAAAUUGCUCUGUCCCAGUCUAGUUAUGCCAUGGCUGGAAAGCAUGGAGGUAAACUAAAAGAUGAAUCAUAUUCUGAUUAUGGCCAAGAACAAAUGCUGGUGCAGUGCAGCAAUGUCACUGAGUUGCUGGCUGCUAUACCUAAAGUUACUCUAGCUAGGGCCUCGCUUAGAUGUCAAGCUCAUGCCCGUGCUCUCAUGUAUUUUGAAUCUCAUGUCCGGGAAAACUCUGGGUCCUCCAAUCCAGCUGCAGAGUGUAGUGGCACCUUUUCAGAUGAUGACAUAUCUUUUCUGAUGGAAAUAUAUGGAGGAUUGGAUGAACCUGAUGGCCUCCUAGGUUUAGCUAACCUGAGGAAAUCAUCAAGCCUACAAGAUCAGCUUAUCAUCAAUGAGAAAACUGGAAACUGGGCUGAAGUUCUAACCUUAUGUGAACAGGCCUUGCAGAUGGAACCUACUUCUGUCCAUAGACAUUCUAAUGUUCUCAAUUGUUUGCUAAACAUGUGCCACCUUCAAGCUAUGAUCGCACAUGUGGACGGUUUGGUGUGUAGUAUACCUGAGUAUAAGAAAACUUGGUGCAUGCAGGGAGUGCAAGCAGCUUGGCGAUUAGGGAGAUGGGAUCUCAUGGAUGAGUAUCUGACCGGGACCGAUAAAGGUCUGGUGUUCAACAGUUAUGAGAACAAUGCUUCUUUUGACAUGGAUCUUGCUAAGAUAUUCAAAGCCAUGAUGAUCAAAGAUCAGUUUAUGGUUUCUGAAAAAAUUGCCCAAUCCAAGCAAGCGUUGCUUGUACCUUUGGCUGCAGCAGGUAUGGACUCGUAUAUGCGUGCGUAUCCUUAUGUUGUGAAGCUACAUAUGUUGCGCGAGUUGGAAGACUUCAACUCCCUGUUGGGAGAUGAGUCAUUUCUUGAUAAGUCAUUCGGUGUAGACGAUCCAAAGUUUCUGAAGUUAACAAAGGAUUGGGAUAACCGUCUGAGAUGUACACAACCAUCUCUGUGGACAAGGGAGCCUUUACUUGCUCUCCGGAGGAUGGUUUUUAGUCAGAGUCAGAUGGAUGCUCAGGUCGGGAACUGCUGGCUUCAGUAUGCUAAGCUCUGUCGUCUGGCUGGUCAUUACGAGACAGCCCACCUUGCAAUACUGGAAGCAGAUGCUUCAGGGGCUCCUAAUGCUCACAUUGAGAAGGCAAAGUAUCUCUGGAAUACACGGAAGUCUGAUAGCGCUAUAGCUGAACUUCAGCAAACACUUCUCAACAUGCCUGCAGAAGUUUUGGGAAGUGCUGUCCUUUCAUCUCUUUCUAGCCUCUCUCUUGCUUUGCCAAAUGCACCUAUCUCUGCAACACAAGCAUCAAAACAGAAUCCAGAUGUGUCUAAAACCCUUCUUCUGUAUACUAGAUGGAUCCACUAUACUGGGCAAAAACAGAGUGCGGAUAUCAAAUAUCUCUAUAACAGAGUAACAGAAUUGCAGCCCAAGUGGGAAAAGGGCUUUUUCUGCAUGGCAAAGUUUGCUGAUGAUUUGCUUGUUGAUGCUAGGAAACGGCAAGAAGAUGAGAAAAUUGCUUGUGGAGCUGGACCUGUCCCUCCAAGCUCUUCUAGCUCUGUAAGCAGAGCAGCCGAAGAGAAAGAGAAGCCUUGGUGGGAUAUGCUUUUUUCAGUCUUAAUGUUUUAUGCAAAAGCACUUCACAAAGGCCACAAGAAUCUUUUUCAAGCACUACCUCGAAUGCUUACUCUUUGGUUCGAAUUUGGAAGCAUUUACAUCCGUGAUGGAUAUUCCUCCGAUAAACGAAUGAAAGAUACUCACGGAAAGGUGUUAAGCCUCAUGCGUGGCUGCUUGAAGGAUCUACCAACAUAUCAGUGGCUUACUGUGCUGUCUCAGUUGAUCUCCCGUAUCUGUCACCAAAAUGUUGAAGUUGUCAGAAUUGUCAAAUGCAUCAUCACAUCUAUUUUACGGGAAUACCCUCAACAAGCUCUUUGGAUGAUGGCUGCAGUGUCAAAGUCAACAGUUGCUGCAAGACGAGAUGCUGCUGCAGAAAUAUUACAAUCAGCGAAGAAAGGAUGUCGGCGUGGGAGUGAAAACAGUUCACUGUUCACUCAAUUUCCUUCUCUGAUAGACCAUCUUAUUAAGCUCUGCUUUCAUCCAGGGCAGCCGAAGGCGAGAACAAUAAAUAUCUCAACAGAGUUCAGUUCCUUGAAAAGAAUGAUGCCACUAGGAAUUAUCUUACCUGUCCAGCAUGCUUUAACUGUGACUCUGCCAUCAUAUGAUACAAAUAUGCCAGAUCAGUCUGGUUUUCACCCUUUUUCAGUUUCUGAGCAUCCUACUAUAGCUGGGAUAGCCGAUGAUGCAGAAAUUCUUUCCUCCCUUCAGAAACCAAAGAAGGUUGUUUUCCUUGGAAGCGAUGGUGUUGCUCGCCCAUUUCUAUGCAAACCAAAGGAUGACCUUAGGAAAGACUCACGCAUGAUGGAGUUCAAUGCAAUGAUCAACCGUCUCCUCUCCAAAGUCCCCGAGAGCCGCAGGAGAAAACUUUAUAUCAGAACCUUUGCAGUGGUACCACUUACAGAAGAUUGUGGAAUGGUAGAAUGGGUGCGCAAUACUCACGGUCUUCGGCAUAUUCUUCAGGACAUCUACAUUACUUGUGGGAAGUUUGAUAGGUUGAAAACAAAUCCACAAAUCAAGAAGAUAUAUGACGUAUUCCAUGGCAAAAUACCUGAUGAUGAGAUGCUGAAGACUAAAAUCCUUCCAAUGUUUCCUCCAGUUUUCCACAAAUGGUUCUUGACAACAUUCUCUGAACCAGCUGCAUGGUUUCGUGCCAGAGUGGCAUAUGCACAUACCACCGCAGUUUGGUCGAUGGUUGGGCACAUUGUUGGGCUUGGUGACAGGCAUGGUGAAAACAUCCUUUUCGAUUCGACAACUGGGGACUGUGUUCAUGUGGAUUUUAGCUGCUUAUUUGAUAGGGGCUUGCAACUUGAUAAGCCUGAGGUGGUGCCAUUUAGGCUUACACAAAACAUGAUUGAUGGCUUGGGCAUCACUGGAUAUGAAGGCGUCUUUCUUAAGGUUUGUGAAAUCACUCUAUCGGUUCUCAGAACUCACAAGGAGACUCUCAUGACUGUUCUUGAGACCUUUAUCCAUGAUCCACUAGUAGAGUGGACGAAAUCUCACAAAUCUAGUGGAGGCGAAGUCCAGAACCCACACGCACAGAGGGCUAUUACUAACAUCAAAGCAAGGCUCCAGGGAGUUGUCGUCGGUGUUAAGGCCAGUCCAUCCCUGCCACUCUCCGUGGAAGGCCAGGCGCGCCGCCUGAUCGCGGAAGCAGUCUCCCUCGGCAACCUCGGCAAGAUGUACAUCUGGUGGAUGCCUUGGUUCUAACAGGGUCAACCAAUCACCUAAAAGUAGGAGGAACUUGGAAGAUCCAAAACCAUCUUUCCGGGACGGGCACAAACUUUAAAGAGAAAGGCAUCAACACUCGUGAAUCACCAGGCUCCACUGCACAGAAACUCUUGCCUGCGAGGAAACUUUGGUCAGCCAUGGAGUACCGACAUACCAAAAUAAGAUUUCGGGUGAAUGAUUAGGCUGUUGAUAUGAUAUCAGCCGCAGAAGAUCACAGAUGCGUCUGAAUCGUAAACGGCUUUGGGGGGGCAGCAGCAGCGGCGGCCGUGUCAGGGGAGGUCCCCUGCUCAUCUAUACAUUGGCAUGCAAGUCUGCAGAGGGUGGCCCACCUGUAGAGCCCUACGUGUCCUCUCUCUCAUGGCCAUGGGCUUUUUUGAGUUGGGGGUACACCUGUGAUUCUUUCUGUGUGGUGGCAUCAGGAUGCUGACUGCUCACCAUGGCCCUCCCUCCACAUCAGCUCAUGGACUUCAUCACUUGAGGCAAGUGGAGCAGAUUUUAAGGAGUAUGAUCAAGUCUUCAGAAAUGAACUUGGAAGAGUUUAUCAUGCACAGCAAAAAGAAAAGAAAAGAAAAGGAGGGGCCCAGUGGGAAUAUCAUGAUGCACAGGCCUUACUUAACAGGCUAACUAACAAUACGCUGCUAAUGUUAAGUUUUUCAUGUUGGUGACUUCUAGUUUCCAUUCAUGCAGUUUCAUGACUUUGUAAGAUGAUGCUGUCCAUCCUUGUUGCUCUGCUCUACUUUUUGUGGGUAGUGGACUAUUGGUAGAGCAAACUGCCAAUUCAGAUUUCAGGGGUUCAGAAAAGGUCUGGCUGCUAGUCAUCUUGGGGCCAGGGACAGCGGCAGUUCCGCUCGGCGAGUGUGUGCUCCGAUGGAGAAAUAAGACGGGGCUGGCCUUUUCGUUGAUCAGUCUGAGUGUUUUUGCUCAUAUUCUUGCUUGGCUCCUCUACCUCAAGCGGCUUCGAAUUAAGGUAGAUCUUCACUGCAUUAUUUUUGUGUUGGAGAAAGGAUACUGUUAUACUAUGUCUUUGUGCAGUCCAAGAGAGUUUUUCUCUGUAAAAAAGGAUAGUAUAUUCAGUUACCUAGCUUCCAUACUGAGAUUAAUCUACACACAAACCAGGCCAAAUGCCCCUACAGUCCUCUCUACAAUCUGCAGCAGCUGUCACGACAGUGCUUCUUCCAUCUGACAUUGUGUACACAGGUGAUCAUUAUAGUAUUUAGUUGGUGGCUCCUAUUGCUGUUCAAUCAAAUAAUCGACCAAUUCGGUAAGUUAACACCAACAUAAUUGAUGAAUGAACCAAGCAUCAAGUUGGCAUGCAUGACUGUGCUGUGCAUGCUUCAACAAUGCACGCAUGGGGAGCUAACAUGACAGCAAUGUCGUGUCAAUUUUGAUCAAUAUAUUUAUUUGACCUGUCAGUUUGCAUGGAAAAAGAGCUGAGCUACCUACAUGUGGCAUGUGCAUGGUUCAUGUUCACUUCCGUAGAGACGUUGCCUGAUGUACAGAGUACAUAGUAGAGUUGCUGCUAUCAAUUGCUUG